rnacentral:sRNA from 18 species
AUGAACAGAACACACACGGAUCUGUGUUCGGCGAUCCUGAUCGCAGAAAGAGUUUACUCUUCUGUGUUUCGGUCGAUUGCUGGACAGUUCGACGACCAAAGGAGGCACCCAUUCUCUCGUUUGGUGUCCAUUGUUUUCCGGUCGACAGAUCUCAGAUUAAAUGUCGGCAUUGGGUGGUUCACUUUGGUCUUGAGCUCCCUCAUGGUGAGCUCGGCUGGGGUUCCUGGUGUCGACGGCGUCAUAUUCCUGUUCCCUUUGCCGAUUUGGCCGUCGGCUGAUGAGGUCAGGGAGAAACCAUGGCUAGCCAACAUUC